rnacentral:rRNA from 1 species
ACACCAAGAAGUUAAGUCAUAUAGAUUAUGGUGAAAAGAUAGUUAAGCGAAAAGUAGUAGGUCGUUUGAUGUAAUGCAUAGGGGUAAAAUCUAAGUGCAAUUGUAAAAUUUUAAGGCGGCUUAGGGGCUGAAUCUAUGAAAUCCUUGAGGGAAACUGGGAUUAGGUACCCCAUUAUUCUUGGGUGUAAAUAGAGAAUGUCUACCAGAGUACUAUGAAUAAUAUAAAAAUUUAAAACUCAAAGAACUUGGCGGUGUUUUAGACCACUCAGGGGAACCUGUCUCGUAAUCGACAAUCCACGUUGUACCUGACCUUUUUUUGUUUUCAGUUUGUAUACCGUUGUCGUCAGGUAACUUUUUAGAAAGUAGAAGUUGGCUAUAGAAACAUGGUGAUUUAAGACGUCAAAUCAAGGUGCAGCUAAUAAAAAGGGGAGGAUGGGUUACAGUUAUAUAGUUAUAAUUACGGAUAUCUAUGUGGAAGCAUAGGUUAUGAAGGAGGACUUGAAAGUAAAUUGAACUAUGAAAGCAGUUUGAAUAAGGCUCUGAAACGUGU